rnacentral:rRNA from 1 species
AUGCCGGAUCCAGAGGAUAAGGACGGUGCAGAGGACGCGCAUGAGGAAGAAGAUAAAGAGGAGGAAGAGGAAGAUAAAGAGGAAGAUGAAUGGGAGCAGGAAGAAGAGGAAGAAUCGGAGGAAUCGGAAGAAGAUUCCGAGGAACCUGAGGCAGAGGAAGAACCGGGCCGUCGCGUGCUUAGCGAUGCCAGGCUCGCCGGUCGGUACACGGGGCCGCGGCCGGGCGGCGAGAUCUUCCUCAAGCGCAAGUUUGAAGGGUGGUACAUCACCAAGAUGGCGGACACCGCCUCUCCCGGCGGCACCGUCGCGUCGCGGCUGCGGUCAAAGCGGAGAUGCCCCGACGCGAAGCUGCUCCGGCAAGCCACCCGCAGAAAGCCGUACUGCGUCGACACGCCCUCGCAGUCCAGCUCGGAGGCAGAGGAGGACGACAAAGACAAACCACCGCCUCAUCCAGCGCUAUCGUCCAGUGACGAGGGCGGGCGCGGACAUGGCAGGACGGGGAUAAGGCGCCCACGGCGCCGAGGACAAAACGCCGAUGAUGACUCUGACGAAGACGGCAGAUCGGCGACGAGGCGGCGCCGAGGACAAUACGCUGCCCACAGCGAUGAAGACUUUGAGGAACCCGGCGGAAUGGCCGCCGCGAGGAGAAGGGAGAAGCAGCGCAUGGAAGAAGAUGAUGCUGCUGCUGACGGCGGCGAUGAGGCUGAUGAGCAGGGAGCUUCCCGGAGGGCAAAGAAAGAAGGAGCGGCGUCCUGCCGGCAGGCGGCCGGCCGCAAGGGCAAGGACUUCCCCGCAGAGGGAUGGGAGCAGCAGGGCGAUGUCACCUUCAAGAAGAGCUCCCUGGUUCCUCCGAGGCGGCAGGACGGGCGAGACCAAGAGACUUACGACGAUCUGCUCUACUCCAUUUUCGAGGGAAUCGAGACCACUCUUCAGAACGCCUCUGCUCCUCUGGACGCCCCUGUUCCUGCACCAGAGCAGGGAGGCGAUCCGUUUCCUCUGGUGUUCUCCUUCGGGGUUGUAGAUGAGGUGGUGCCGGAGAAGACUGCUCUGGACGACCUGUGGGCACAACGUGACUUGGCCUUGGACUUGGAGGCCGAAUCCAACAAGGUUUCUUCUCACACUUGCCACAAGGACGCAGAGAGCGAUGAGCAUGAAAUUCCUGCACAUGGAGGGACUUUUUGCAAGCGAGGGAAGCAUGAUCUCUUUCAUGAUGAUCAAAUCGGCAUUCGAUGCCGAAAAUGCGAUUACAUCGAAAUCGAAAUUAGACACGUAUUUCCAUCCAUGGCCAAGGAAUCGACGGAUAGGGAGCCAGCAGCGGAGCAUGAUAGGCUUGACAUGUUCGUUGAUGACAUCCUGAAAUCAGUUGGUUAUGAAGGGGCAAGCAACGUGGCACUGGGAAGUGACAAAACUGGCGUCGUCUGGGAUCUCAUUCCUGGGGUACGGGAAGACAAGUUCCCACACCAGCGGGAAGGGUUCGAGUUCAUGUGGAGAAAACUCGCAGGAGGGAUCGACAUUGAGCAGCUGAGGCACACCAUGAACACUGACACCACAAGUGGCUGUGUGAUCUCUCAUGCCCCGGGGACCGACAAGACCAGGCUAGCAAUCACAUUCGUGCAGUCUUACCUGGAGCUCUUCCCGCACUGCAGGCCAGUUAUCAUUGCCCCCAGGGGUAUGCUGGCUACAUUGGAGCAGGAGUUCAGUAAAUGGAAUGUCAAGCUCCCAUUCCAUGUCCUCAGUUCCAGUGAGAUCCAGUGGGAUCAAGACAAGACCAUCCAGAAACUGGUCUCCAAGGAUCAUGGUCUGGGCCAGAAGCUGGCCAUGAAGAAACUGAGCCAGAAAUCCAAGAUGAUGCUGAAGCUUGCAUCAUGGUAUGAAGGGAGCAGCAUCAUCGGUCUAAGCUAUUCGCUCUACAGGAAUCUUGCCAAGGGCGAAGGCAAGGAUGGAGAAAUGCAGAGGAACCUGCUUCUUGAGAAGCCCGGCUUGCUGGUCCUCGACGAGGGGCACACACCAAGGAACAAGAAGAGCCUCAUUUGGGAAGUUCUCGCAGAGGUCAGCACCGAAAAGCGGAUAAUCCUGUCAGGGACUCCAUUCCAGAACAACUUCCUAGAGCUGUACAACAUCUUGUGCCUGGUUAAGCCCAAGUUUGCCAAAGAUUUUGCUUGUACAAGACUCAGCAAGAAAGGAGUUGCUUCCACCAGCCAAUCAAGAGCAGCGCCUUAUGUGGAGGAGGAUGAAGGCAAAGAAUUCUGGAGUUCAUUAAGGAUAAGUAACAUCACGGAUGAACACAUCACUGAAAUCCGGGAAAAGCUGGGCCCUUUUGUGCACAUCCAUAAUGGUGACAUUCUUCAGAAGUCUCUUCCAGGAUUGAGAGAAUCUGUUGUGAUCCUGAACCCUCUUCCUCGUCAGAAGGAAAUCAUCGCAAUGAUGGAGGAAAGUGCAGGGAAGGGUUUUCUUGACGCAGAAUACAAGAUAUCUCUUGCGUCCAUACACCCAUUCCUCGUCACAAGCACAAAGCUGUCAGACACAGAAGCCUCUGUUGUGGACAAGAUGAAGAGCGUGCGGCUGAACCCAUGCGAAGGAGUGAAGACAUGGUUCGUUUUCGAGAUCAUCCGUCUUUGCGAAGCACUGAAAGAAAGAGUGCUGGUGUUCAGUCAGUACCUUGAGCCACUGGCCCUGAUCAUGGACCAGCUUACCACAGAGCUAGACUGGACAGAAGGCAAGGAGAUCCUACUCAUGAGUGGAAAUGUGCGUGUUAAACAGCGCGAAGCCUUGAUGGAAGCCUUCAACGACAUGAACAGUGAGGCUAAGGUGAUGCUUGCAUCAACCAAGGCCUGCUGUGAAGGAAUAACACUGGUCGGUGCAUCGCGUGUGGUUCUCCUUGAUGUCGUCUGGAAUCCUUCUGUUGGACGGCAGGCGAUUGGCCGAGCCUAUAGAAUCGGCCAGGAGAAGAUUGUGUACACAUACAACCUGAUUGCAGAAGGAACAAAGGAGAAGGUCAAAUAUGACAGACAAGCUACCAAGGAUCACAUGUCCAAAUUACUGUUUUCAAAUGAACCGCAACCUACUGGGAGCAAUCUGUCACCAGAACUGAUAUCCAAUGAUAGGAUUUUGGAAAAAAUGGCUGCACGUGAAGAACUCAAAGACAUGUUUGUGCAGAUUCUCCCUUCCCAUUGA